rnacentral:ncRNA from 1 species
UGCGAUGAGUUGACCUCCAAUCAGGUGACUUCGGUCAUUUCGCUGCGGCGACAAGUGAUUGGAACUUUAGACAGGGCACAACCGUACUUAUGUACAACUGCAAGAUGCAGGUGUUUGGACCCCUCUGUUUUGUGGAAUUC